UCAGUCUGUGGGGCGCUGCUGGAGGCGUAGGUCGGCGUCUGCUCCAGCAGCCUUGUUGUUCUCUUUUCCGCUACGCGCGUGUGCGCGGGAGGCUGAGGCUCUUGUCCCGUCUGGGUCGCGCCUCCUGGGGCGCAUCUUUUUCUCUUUCUCAUCCUCCCCCCUUCGAGCGCUUCCGCAGAGGGAUUUUUCCGCGUUUCCCCGACCCGCGCCCCUUUCCUCCCGCUUCCCGGCCGGGGGCUUGCGGCGCUUCCCUCUGGAUGCGUCCCCGCAGCCUCGGGCGGGAGGCGGCCAGGGGGAAGCGCUGCCUCCGGGGAUUUACUGCUGUCUGGCACUCGGACUCGCGCCGCCGUCGCCCCCUUCCCCGCGAGGGCACCCGGCGCCCCGGCUCCGCUGCCGCUUCGGGCCGUGGCCAUGGACGAGAAGUACCUGCCCGAGCUGAUGGCGGAGAAGGACUCGCUGGACCCGUCCUUCACUCACGCCCUGCGGCUGGUCAACCAAGAAAUUGAAAAAUUCCAAAAAGGAGAAGGAAAGGAAGAAGAAAAGUAUAUUGAUGUAGUCAUCAAUAAAAAUAUGAAGUUGGGGCAAAAAGUUUUGAUUCCAGUAAAACAGUUCCCUAAGUUCAACUUUGUGGGAAAACUUUUGGGUCCACGUGGUAAUUCCCUAAAGCGUUUACAGGAAGAAACCCUAACAAAAAUGUCUAUUUUGGGGAAAGGUUCUAUGAGGGACAAGACAAAGGAGGAAGAGUUGAGGAAAAGUGGAGAGGCAAAGUACUUUCACCUAAAUGAUGACCUGCAUGUUUUGAUUGAAGUAUUUGCUCCACCAGCGGAAGCAUAUGCCAGAAUGGGUCAUGCAUUGGAAGAAAUCAAGAAAUUCCUCAUUCCUGACUACAAUGAUGAAAUCAGACAGGCACAGCUUCAAGAAUUAACAUAUUUAAAUGGAGGUUCAGAAAAUGCAGAAGUUCCAGUAGUUCGUGGAAAACCAUCUAUUCGAGCAAGAGGAGUACCAGUUCCUGCUUUGUCUAGCAGGCUGUGUCUGGGAACUUCACUGCUCACCCCUGCCCCCACUACAAUGAAGUCAAAUAAGCAGCUGGUACCCUGUCCUGAGGAGGCAUUCUACAGAUUAGCCAAAACCAAGGGCCGUGGAGGAGUGCCUCCACCACCUGCAGGAGUACCAAGAGGGGCACCAGCACCCAGAGGAGUGCCUCCCAGUAGAGGACCAGUCAGCCGCAGUCGUGGACUUCUAGCACCCAGAGCACGAGGAGUGCCUCCACCUGCCGGUUACCGACCUCUUCCACCACCUCCGGCACAGGAGACUUACGGCGAAUAUGAGUAUGAUGAUGGAUAUGGAACUGCUUAUGAUGAACAAAGCUAUGAUUCCUAUGAUAACAGCUAUAGCACUCAAGCACAAAGUGGAGCAGAUUAUUAUGAUUACGGCCAUGGACUAAGUGAAGAAACGUAUGACUCUUAUGGGCAAGAAGAAUGGACCAACUCACGACACAAGGCACCUUCUGCAAGGACAACAAAAGGAGUCUACAGAGACCAGCCAUAUGCCAGAUACUGAUUGUACUGUCUGAUGUUGUGAAAUAUCCAAUCUCCACCAGUCCUGUAUACUGUUCAAAGAAAUCCACCUCCUCGGACAGCCAAGAGAACAAAAACCUUUGUCUUCUGAUGCUUCGGAACUUCUGCUGUGUUCUUUCUGGACUGCUUAGAGCAUUGUACUUCUCCGUGUGCUUAGACAGCAAGACAAGCUACGGAGUAUGAAAAUCCCGUUCAGCAUCUCCUGUAUUAAAGCCUUAAUGUGUAUAUAUACUUUUUAAAGUCAUUGUAUAUUUAAACUCUUAAUUGUUUAGUAAUGUGACAAUGUUUUAUUUGGAGCUCAAUAAAGAAGUUUCAUCUAAAUUCCUGUUACAAAGCAAUAAUGCAACUUCAUGUUACUUUAGUGACUCUUUUUAGCCUUGCACAGCAAGUGGAAGAGAGCGUGUGAAGUCUCAUGACUAGAGUUUAAAUGCUUCUGGAAAUAGCUUGUCUAAUGUAUGAACAACAUGGAAAAGUUAAAAUGGAGAUGAGUGUUUUAUGCUCAAGUUUUUCUUAAUAGCUAAUUGUAAACAGGCCUACUCAAAACUUGGUAGAAAUGAUACUGUAAUUUCUGUUUCCUUCAGAAACUUAUGUGACUAAAGGUGGUUUAGUCCCUGUCAAUCAUAAUAUGCUGCUUAUUCUCUUCACUUGAUGGUUGAUGCAUAGAUAUGUUUAAUAGACAGGCACAGUUUUUCUAGUAGUAGAGUCUUGGAUGAGGUUUCUACACCUCAAAUCUUGUCUCUAACAGUCACACUUCCUCAGUGCUUUCUGGUUUAUAUUAAUUGUGAUUGUGAUAAUUUGUUACAUAAAUAAAAUUCUGGCAAUUUCA